rnacentral:rRNA from 1 species
GAUGAACGCUGGCGGCGUGCCUAAUACAUGCAACUCGAGCGAACAGACUAGGAGCUUGCUCCUCUGACGUUAGCGGCGGACGGGUGAGUAACACGUGGAUAACCUACCUAUAAGACUGGGAUAACUUCGGGAAACCGGAGCUAAUACCGGAUAAUAUAUUCAACCGCAUGGUUCAAUAGUGAAAGACGGUUUUCCUGUCACUUAUAGAUGGAUCCGCGCCGCAUUAGCUAGUUGGUAAGGUAACGGCUUACCAAGCCGACGAUGCGUAGCCGACCUGAGAGGGUGAUCGGCCACACUGGAACUGAGACAAGGUCCAGACUCCUACGGGAGGCAGCAGUAGGGAAUCUUCCGGAAUGGGCGAAAGCCUGACGGAGCAACGCCGCGUGAGUGAUGAAGGUCUUCGGAUCGUAAAACUCUGUUAUUAGGGAAGAACAAAUGUGUAAGUAACUAUGCACGUCUUGACGGUACCUAAUCAGAAAGCCACGGCUAACUACGUG